GCACUCAUAGCUCAACUGGAUAGAGCAUUUGACUACGGAUCAAAAGGUUAGGGGUUCGAAUCCUCCUGAGUGCACCA
rnacentral:tRNA from 1 species